rnacentral:sRNA from 1 species
UUUUUUUUAUACCCGC